AGGAAAUGCACCACACUAUGAUUUACUUCUGGCUCAAAAUGACUGUUUCAAAGCUGACGGAAAGGUCAUUUAUUGAUAAUUUUGAUAAGACACCGAACAAUUUAUGGCGAUAAGAACAGCACAUUAAGUACAUUAUAUAUGUGAAUAAUUAUACGAAUGCAUACGUCAGUAUUUGUGCGUGUGUGUUUAUAAAAUACUUAAAAAUUGUUGAUUAAGCUAUUUGUGUUGACAGUUUGUGUCGAGUUUCCGAGGGCUCUCCGCUUGCUGUCAGUGUCGAAUAUUGUUUAUGUGUCGGUCGGCAUGCUAAUGGAACGUAUUAUAUGCUUGUUUAUUUCUUUUUUAUUUUUUUUACUUGUAUGCAUAUGUCUGAUAUGGGAAAUGUGAGACUAAUCAACAUUAAAUAAACCGAGAUAUGUCUGUGCUAAAGUAUUUGAAAUGGAAAAUACCAAAGAAAGCUCCAAAUUGCACUUUCCAAAUUGAACAGCGUUUCAAAGGGUGGCAGAGUGGGUGCGAGGGACAGGAAGAGGGGAACAGAGGCAGAGAGUGAAACCGACAUUAAAUUAAGUGCCAUAAUUCAACUGGAGAGGCUGUUCGCAGAUACAAAGUAGGGUGCAAUGGUCAGACAGCGGCUGCAACAAUAGCAAAAAAUUUUAUUAAAUCUACACGAAUAAAGCGGAGCGAAGCAUAAGCCAAACACACGCGCGCACACAGCUGCAUUGGAUGUGGGGCCAUUUAUUUGCGCUAAUAUCGUUCACCCCACUUUAAAUGUCAGUGUACAAGCAACAACAACUACUACAACAGCUGCCCCGGCCAAUUAGGCCUGCGCGAUAGAGCGAGCGAGAGAGAAAGAGAGAGAGCGCUCUUGAUGAAUGCGGUUGAAAUAAUGAACGUGCGCAGGCGCAGCAGCCAGCGCAUAGGCCGAGAUAGUGCUAUACAAAUGAAAACAUAAGCAAAACAACAA